ACAUCAGCCUCGUUUUCAAUGACGCAAAGUGUUAAGAGAAAAAAUAGACAUUACAAUGCAAAUCACAUGAAUGUAAAUCGGUAGAGUUUGCAUCUCAUUUUUCUAUGUGAAAGGGCACGUGUUAUUUAUUCUGUUUUAGAAAUUAUAUAUGAAUUGAUGUUAUACAUUAGUUGUCUAAAACAACAUGUUUUUAUAUAAACCAUCUGAUCGUUUUUAAACAAAAUUCAAAACCAACUGAUAUAUUAAGGUAAAUAUAAAUCAUUUUUUCAACUUGCAUAAGCGAGUAGACUUAUUCAAUGAAAUGUAAAUAAAAACACUUUCUGGAACCAUCAUAUUCACUGAGGUAUUUAAUUGUAUAAUAUUUAAUAAAACUUGAAUUAUCAAAAAUGACCAAAAUAUUUUGGGCCUGAAAUUUAUCAAAUGUACUUAUUCAGUUUUUUGUACACGUAGUAUGUUUUACAGUCUUGAAGUAUAUAAAUGUAUGCUAAAAAAGAAAGAAAUCAUGGUUUUAGUACUUUAAAUAAUUGAAAUUUAGUCUUUGCCUAGUUCAAUUCUUCGUAGCACUCUUUACAACACUUGUUUAUCAAACUGUCACUGGCGCAUAAAUACAACGCUUUCUUCUUCAUCUCCAACCAUUCUCGUCAACGUAGGCACUUUGUUUUGAAUUUAAAAAAAAAAAAUUAUUUUAGCCAGUGAGAGUUCUUGAUAAGCAUACGAAGAUUUUGUUUUGUUAUCAACAUGAAUUUUGUUAAAAUCUUGAAACACAGUCUGUGAUAUGAUGAAUGUAUGAUACAUAGUUUUAAAUAAAUAAAAAAAGUCCAAUGC
rnacentral:misc_RNA from 1 species